CACAGAUAAACCGUAAGGGGGAUAGACUGACAGGGAAACUUAGGAUGGUAGCUACAGAGAGAACAGGUAAUCCAAAUAGAGUCAGCCUAUAAAUAUAAUAACGGAAUAAUAACUAUUCUCAUUGAUAUAGGAUAAAAACCCUAUUGUGUCUGAAGGAUACAGCUGCAGAGGUAAUCUAAGAUCCCCAGUAAUGUAUAGCUUGAAGUCCUACCUAAUGAAAGGGAAAGCUGCAGAAAUAGUUAAACUAAUGCACCAGGAAAAAAUCUCUCAUGCAAAAUCUCUGUCACUCAUAAGGUUAGCAUUGAGGAGUAUGUAGACAGGUAAGGGAGACAGUAAGUGUCUAUAAUAUCCUAUCACUACUGAAACAAACACCUUAGAGGGUGUUCUAAG